rnacentral:rRNA from 1 species
AGGAUUAGAUACCCUGGUAGUCCACGCUGUAAACGAUGUCGACUUGGAGGUUGUGCCCUUGAGGCGUGGCUUCCGGAGCUAACGCGUUAAGUCGACCGCCUGGGGAGUACGGCCGCAAGGUUAAAACUCAAAUGAAUUGACGGGGGCCCGCACAAGCGGUGGAGCAUGUGGUUUAAUUCGAUGCAACGCGAAGAACCUUACCUACUCUUGACAUCCAGAGAAUUCGCUAGAGAUAGCUUAGUGCCUUCGGGAACUCUGAGACAGGUGCUGCAUGGCUGUCGUCAGCUCGUGUUGUGAAAUGUUGGGUUAAGUCCCGCAACGAGCGCAACCCUUAUCCUUUGUUGCCAGCGCGUAAUGGCGGGAACUCAAAGGAGACUGCCGGUGAUAAACCGGAGGAAGGUGGGGAUGACGUCAAGUCAUCAUGGCCCUUACGAGUAGGGCUACACACGUGCUACAAUGGCGUAUACAAAGAGAAGCGAACUCGCGAGAGCAAGCGGACCUCAUAAAGUACGUCGUAGUCCGGAUCGGAGUCUGCAACUCGACUCCGUGAAGUCGGAAUCGCUAGUAAUCGUAGAUCAGAAUGCUACGGUGAAUACGUUCCCGGGCCUUGUACACACCGCCCGUCACACCAUGGGAGUGGGUUGCAAAA